UACGUAGGGUGCGAGCGUUGUCCGGAAUUACUGGGCGUAAAGAGCUCGUAGGUGGUUUGUCGCGUUGUUCGUGAAAACUCACAGCUCAACUGUGGGCGUGCGGGCGAUACGGGCAGACUAGAGUACUGCAGGGGAGACUGGAAUUCCUGGUGUAGCGGUGAAAUGCGCAGAUAUCAGGAGGAACACCGGUGGCGAAGGCGGGUCUCUGGGGCAAAUGAACUGACGCUGGAGGCACGAAAGCGUGGGGAGCAAACAGG
rnacentral:rRNA from 1 species